AACGAACGCUGGCGGCGUGCUUAACACAUGCAAGUCGAACGCGAAAGGGACUUCGGUCCUGAGUAAAGUGGCGCACGGGUGAGUAACGCGUAGAUAACCUGUCUUCAUGUCUGGAAUAAUACGCCGAAAGGGGUACUAAUACCGGAUAUUCUUGCUUUUCAUAAGUUAUGCAAGCAAAGGUGGCCUCUGCAUAUGCUACUGCAUGAAGAGGGGUCUGCGUACCAUUAGCUAGUAGGUGGGGUAAUGGCCUACCUAGGCGACGAUGGUUAGCGGGUCUGAGAGGAUGAUCCGCCACACUGGCACUGGAACACGGGCCAGACUCCCACGGGAGGCAGCAGUGAGGAAUAUUGCGCAAUGGGGGAAACCCUGACGCAGCGACGCCGCGUGAGUGAAGGAAGGCCUUCGGGUCGUAAAGCUCUGUCAAGAGGAAAGAAGUGUACAAUGGCUAAUACCUGUUGUAUUUGACGGUACCUCUAAAGGAAGCACCGGCUAACUCCGUGCCAGCAGCCGC
rnacentral:rRNA from 1 species